rnacentral:lncRNA from 1 species
GCGGGUCCGUCCCGGGUCCCUUGUCUGGCCAAGCAUGUGGUUAGCGAGUCCCCGGGUACGCAAGACUAAAACACGGGAAGAACAGAGCCCCUCCCGGGCGAGCUAGUUUUAGGAAAAUAAGCAAGUAAAAAUAGCAUCGGAUAUAUAUUAAAGCUUGGGCAAAACAAGUUGACGAAUAACACUGAUAAUGACAAGAGAAACCUAACAUAAAAAGUUCUAAGGCGCACGCGCCACUUGCAGGGAAAUAAAAAAAAGAGAAGGAAGGGAACUACGCGGGA